UUUCCGUAGGUGAACCUGCGGAAGGAUCAUUAUUGAAUGCUCUCGAUGGGUUGUAGCUGGCUCCUCGGAGCAUGUGCACACCCGUCUUGACUCUAUUCAUCCACCUGUGCACCUAUUGUAGUCUCGUCCUCUAUGUCUUUAUUCACAAACCAUGUAGUAUGUUGCAGAAUGUAUUCAAUGGGCCAUUGUGGUCUAUAAAACCUUAUACAACUUUCAGCAACGGAUCUCUUGGCUCUCGCAUCGAUGAAGAACGCAGCGAAAUGCGAUAAGUAAUGUGAAUUGCAGAAUUCAGUGAAUCAUCGAAUCUUUGAACGCACCUUGCGCUCCUUGGUAUUCCGAGGAGCAUGCCUGUUUGAGUGUCAGUAAAUUCUCAACCCUACCAGCUUUUGUGAGCUGGCACUUAGGGCUUGGAUGUGGAGGUUCUGCGGGCCGGUCGGCUCCUCUGAAAUGCAUUAGCGGAACCGUUUGCGAUCCGUCACAGGUGUGAUAAUUAUCUACGCCAGUGGGUUGCUCUCUGUUUGUUCAGCUUCCAACCGUCCUUCUGGACAAACAUACUGAACCUUUGACCUCAAAUCAGGUAGGACUACCCGCUGAACUUAA
rnacentral:rRNA from 1 species